rnacentral:rRNA from 1 species
GUGACAACUAACAACAUCAAGGAAUAGUCGGUGCUCUUCCGUAAAAUAAAUAAUCGAUGCUAGCACGCAUGCACCGAGUAGCUUCUAUGGUGUAGCCGGUACAACAUGAAGAAAAGCACCGACCGCCCACUGCUUGCCUUAUCCCAUCGCCACUCCUCUCCUUCUCUUAUCCAGAUCGCCGUCCCAGCGUGGUCCUCUUCCUCUUCUCCAUCCAACCCAGCCAGAAGCUUGAUCUGGCCGUUCGCCCCAGUCGCCGGUCCCGUGGGUCAGCAGCCUCGCCUCCACCCGAUUCAGUCGCGUCCUCCUUCCCAAGGCUUUCUCCGAUCUGCCAACCCACCACCCCACCACGCCUCGCUCUCUCUGCCCCCUCCUUCCCCACGCAGCGCCGAUGGGGCAGGGCCUCCGCGGCCGCCGGCGCCCUCUGCGACUCCUCUUCUCCAUGAUUCGCCCGCUAUUACUCCUCUCCUCCACGAUUCGUGGUGAUGUUGGGGUGGCAUCUUCUUCGAGCGGGAGGUGUGCCUCGUCCUCGCACAUGCUCGGCCGCGCCAUCGGAGCCCCCCGCAGGUUGCCUGCCCGUCGCCCUCACCUUCACUCUUCUUCCCCUUUCAAUUCUGCUCUAUCCUCUCUGAAUAUCUCCCCCUCUCUCUCUCUAUUCAAGUGUAGAGGCAGUGCUCCGCCACCCGAUGCUGUUCUUCGCGUCGUCCCGCGCUCCCAAAGCUGGGAACCGGCUCCCCGCCUCCAAGUUCUCGGCAUCGACGUCCCGUGCUGCCUGCAUCCUCGCCAAGCCUGACUCGCAGCCGUGUAGCCCGAGCUCGCCAAGGCGCUUCAACUCCGCCGCCGCGCCAUCAUCUUCAGGCGCUCGAGCACGAGCACAAGCUCGCCCGCGCCUCACCUCUCUCUGCCGCUCCGUCCGCCGCCCGCGGUGCCGUGACCCGUCACUGCCGUGCCCUGCAUCACUCUGUAGCCGCGCCGCCUGGGUCGAUGCGGUCAGCGCUCCCAAGCCGUUGACCCCGCGCCAGGGGACGACUAUUUCCUCCCAUGCGUGCGCGCCCGUGCUCCAGCCCUCCCCUCCCCAUGCUGCCGGCACACUCGCGCCGCGGGGCCGUAUCCAGCCUGUGCCUGGACGACGGAAGCCCCCCCACUGUCCGUGCGCUCCGGCCAGCUCCCUGUCGCGCUCGAGACCUCCUCGAGUCUUCCCGCCGAGGCCUUCCCGGUGACCAGCCUUUGACUUGGGUCUCCUGUCCGCCUCGGCGCGGACGCCCGCCACGACGCCGGUGGCAAGCGGCGGCGCGUGCCCGGCGAUGGAGAACGGCAGGAUAAGCGGUGAGAGGCGCGGUGGUGAGCCAGUCCAAUAAGAGAUAAGGGUUGCGGGUAUAAUUUCUAACAAAUGCAGGGGGUUUUUACGCAAAAACAAAACAUUUUUCUAAAUUGCCACUAAAAUAGGGACUGCGGGUUGAUUUAUGUAAACCGAGGGGCUUUUUUGUAAAACUGCCAGGACGACGAACGACAGAAACCCAAUUCUCCAAUUGCGGGACGAAAACUAAUGGUAGAAAAAAAAUCAAUUGCGGGACGAAACUAAGAAUAUCACCUUGCUUUGAUAGUAGGUAUAGAUGUGCAACGCACGAAUCCAUAAAAAACUGAUUUUUUUUACUAUUAUAUAUGCUUUGCUUCUUCAUUUUCUUUUUUGAGGGAAUACUGUCUAUUUCUUCGGAUUUACUUAAUCAUUCUUACAAAGCGGUGAAUAUCAAUAUCUGCGACGGUGGCGGCAAGACGCUGGUGGUGGCACGGUUCGCGGCUUACAAGGUCGUGCUCUAGAGAUCGAUCGGGUCGACUGUUUGAGAACAUUCCAAAUUAUAAUUUUUGUUUUUUGGAUUGCUAAUUAAAGUACUUUGAUUGAUUGAUAGACUGUUUAUUGUUGGAAUGCUAAUUAGGGUGACAAUAUUUAUUUUUAAAUCCUAAUUACAUUGCUUAAUUGCUAAUUAUGAUGCUUUAAUGGGUACAACAUCAUUGGCGCAAUGUAGGCUAUUAGAUAUAAAGAUACGAAGAGUUUCUGCCAUAGCUUGGUUGUUUAAUAGUAGCGGAGAUUGUAAUUGAUCUGUUGCCGUUUUUUUACUUUGCACUUUGAUUUGUUGCCCUCUUUCAGGUGGUUCCCACAUAAUAUGAAUAGAAUAUCACUCACCUACAGACUGACCAUCCCCGCCUCUCGCCCUCAAUAACGCUAGAGGAUGGCGGUCGGAGGCGGCGCCUGCCAUUCCCGGCCAGCCCUACUCUACCCCUCCCCCCUAAUCGAUCUGCGCUUAUCGUCGCCCCGCAACUGCUAGUUCAUGGCCAUGCAGGCGUUGGACGAGCACCAGGACAUACACCGGCAGGAGUGCACGCUACCUCCUCUCGCAGUGCUCCAGCGACCGGAGGGAGUGGCGACGACCGUAAGCAACCGACAACAGGGACAAGAGCUUGGGAUGGUGGCAGAUAGUGAGCCGCACGGGGCGGGGAACAGCGUGCCCCACGUCACCCACGACAGUUAGCACUCCGGUAGCUCGGCGUCGACAAACUGGAGGAUCUCGGCAAGGAGGAGGGGGAGGCGGCCAUCACCAGGGCGACGACGACGGUGAACAGGUUCAUCCCCUGCCGAUUUGAUUUCAGUUGGCUGGAAUACCUGGUCAAACUAGCACAAAGGGGUAUUAUGGUCCACUAUUUUAUUCAUAUAUUGUGUCAGUCAUUUCAAGUAUUGUUUUUGUGUGAAAAAAUGGUAAAAGAUGAAAGUGCAAAGUAAAAGGUGGCAACAUUUUUUUUUCGAAA